UUUUUUUUUGUCAUUUUACUGGGUGCCUUCGUAUUAUGUAUUAUUAACUAAAUAAUACUAUUAUAUUAUGGGCUAUCGAAAAUAUGGUUUAUGAAAAUUGUUAACAAUUUAAUACAUACAAUAUUAAAAUAAAACUAAAAAUUAAAAUAUUAGUAUAAAAUGUAUAAUGUGUGUUUUUUUUUUUUUUUUUUUUGACAUAUGACUAGAUUAAUAUAAUAUUAAUACAUUGAUAGGUUUUCAAGACUAGACACGGUUUUUUUUUUUUUUUUAAAUAGUUAUUUCAGUAUACAAUUUAUUCUUAUAUAGAUGUUUACAAACUACAAAAAAAAAAAAAAAAAAACAAAAAAAAUGACUAGGUAUAAAUUAAAAUAGGUAACACAUAAAUUUGUAUAAUGAUAAUAAUACAAUAAUAAUGAUAAUAAUAAUAAUAAUAAAAAUAAUAAUAAUAAAAAUAAUAAUAAUAAUAAUAAUGCUAAUUUACUAAAAAAAAUAUGUUGAAAGUAACAGUUAAUAAAUUAAAUUGCCAUGUUGAAAAAAAAAAAUGUGUUCGAAUCUAAAUAAAUAUACUUAUAUACUCGCACAGGAAAUUGCCCAAAAAAAUACAAUCGUAUUAUUACAUAUUAUUAUUAUAUAGGUAAAGGCUAUAAAAUAUAAAUAUUUACAAUAUUUUACAACUAUAAUCACGUUUGAUUGCAAGAAUAAUGAUUUCUUUAGUGUGUUAACGUGCAAGUGUAUAAUAUUUUUACCUAUUGUUUAUAUAUUUUUUUUUUUUUUUUGUAAAUCAGUUGUGUAUACGAGAAUAAUCAUUUAUGAUCGAAAAAUGUAAAUAUAUAAAUAAUAAUAUUAUUAUUAUAAUAUUUUCUUCUUUUUUUUUCGUGUUUAUUUAAAAAAUGAUUUACAUGCUAGUUCAUAGGCAACCACUCAUACGCACUAAACUAAUAUACAGGUAAUAUUAUAAUAAUACGUACAAUACGUUCUUAAUUUACACAUGGAAAACAAAAUCAAUAAAAACGGGCAACAAAAUUUUAGGGACGCGCAGUAGUUAAAUUUUUUUUAAAAUUUUAUUUCGAAUCGAUUUUAUAAUAAUACUAUUUUUGUAUACACCUAUACGGAAUAAUAAGCAAUUUCUUAUGUACGAAAUAAAAUAAACGAAAUAUAAGAAAAGAAAGUCAAUUGGUAAGAAAUAAAUAAUUAUUUCAAACGUCUGCCGGAAUGUUGUCGAAAAACAUUCAAUACAAUAAAUUGGCAAAAGCCGUGAAAUAAAAUAAAAAACAAAAACAAAAAAAAAAAAAACAAAAAAAAAUGGAAAAGAAAUGAAACAAAAUAUACGUAACACAGCGUUGACUACAACAAAAAUUGUCUGAGGUUCGGGUAGUCGAUUUUUUCAUAAGAGAUUUAAUAAUCUCUGAGCAGCCAACUACCCGGGAUUUAUGCUAUUUAAGUAAUAGUCAUAUUUCACAUUUGGUUUACAAUAGUUUUGUUGUAGUAUAAUAUUGCUCAAAACGCCAUAACAUACAAUCAAAUGUUAAAAUAUUUUUCUUUUAAGUAAAACGCAAUUUCCGGACGAAAACAAUUAAUAAUAAUAAAGUAAAAAAAAAAUUCUACGAAAAAAUACAAAAUAAAUAAUAAAAAAAUCACAAGCUUUUAUCAAAUUUGACAUAAAGUCGAUUGCACUACAACUUAUACUCUGACUAGAUAAAAUAAUUAUUAUUAUUA